UACGGGAGGCAGCAGUGGGGAAUAUUGGACAAUGGGCGCAAGCCUGAUCCAGCCAUGCCGCGUGAGUGACGAAGGCCUUAGGGUUGUAAAGCUCUUUUGGCGGGGAAGAUAAUGACGGUACCCGCAGAAUAAGCCCCGGCUAACCCCGUGCCAGCAGCCGCGGUAAU
rnacentral:rRNA from 1 species